UGAGCCAGAGAGCAAGUGCUGCCUGUCCCUACUGCCCAGACCACGUGGGAACACACUAGGGGCAACGGGGGGCAGCCAACAGGAGAUGAGGAAGAUGCCCAGUCCAAGCUGCAAGCAGAGAUCUCCAUGGUCCUAGGAUUAGCAGCUCCAGAGGCAAGGACCCUAGGAUUUCUCGCCAAGCUAAGGAAUGCUGCCCACAUACCAGAAUAUCAGCACCAAAUUGUUUGGUGAGUGUUUUGUCACUGAAAUUUGAAGAUUCAGUUGUUACAGCACCUAGUUGUUAUUCAAAUCAAGUGGUG
rnacentral:lncRNA from 1 species